rfam:TPA: Bos taurus chromosome X, whole genome shotgun sequence.
UCCCUGGUGGUCCAAUGGUUAGGACUCAGUGCUUUGACUGCUGGGGUCCAAGUUUGAUCCCUGGUCAGGGAA